CGCUCUUUGCUUUCAUAAAACAUAAAGAGUCGAACCUGCCCAGUGAUUCUAUUUAACGGCCGCGGUACUCUGACCGUGCAAAGGUAGCAUAAUCAUUUGCCUUAUAAUUGAAGGCUCGUAUGAACGGUUUGACAAGAGUAAAACUGUCUCUAUAUAAAUUUUAUAGAAUUUGGUUUUUAGGUGAAGAAACCUAAAUAAAAUUGAAAGACAAGAAGACCCUAUCGAGCUUAAAAUAAGUUUCUUGAAAAAUACUAAAGACUAAUUUCAUGAAAAAAUUUUGGUUGGGGCGACUAAGGAACAUACAAAGCUUCCUAUAAAAUAUACAAACUAAUAAGUUUUGAUCCAAAAAUUUGAUUAACAGAAAUAGUUACCGUAGGGAUAACAGCCAUAAUCUUAA
rnacentral:rRNA from 1 species